GACGGAGGGUGCGAGCGUUAAUCGGAAUUACUGGGCGUAAAGCGCAUGUAGGCGGCUGAACAAGUCAGGUGUGAAAUCCUCGGGCUUAACCUGGGAAGUGCACUUGAUACUGUUCGGCUAGAGUUUGGCAGAGGAAAGUAGAAUUCCCGGUGUAGCGGUGAAAUGCGUAGAUAUCGGGAGGAAUACCAGUGGCGAAGGCGGCUUUCUGGGCCAACACUGACGCUGAGGUGCGAAAGCGUGGGGAGCAAACAGG
rnacentral:rRNA from 1 species